rnacentral:rRNA from 1 species
AACGAACGCUGGCGGCAUGCCUAACACAUGCAAGUCGAACGAGACCUUCGGGUCUAGUGGCGCACGGGUGCGUAAUGCGUGGGAACCUGCCCUUAGGUUCGGAAUAACUCCCCGAAAGGGGUGCUAAUACCGGAUAAUGUCUUCGGACCAAAGAUUUAUCGCCUUUGGAUGGGCCCGCGUUGGAUUAGCUAGUUGGUAGGGUAAAAGCCUACCAAGGCGACGAUCCAUAGCUGUUCUGAGAGGAUGAUCAGCCACACUGAGACUGAGAAACGGCCCAGACUCCUACGGGAGGCAGCAGUGGGGAAUACAGGAAAAUGGGCGAAAGCCUGAUCCAGCUAUGCCGCGUGAGUGAUGAAGGCCUUAGGGUUGUAAAGCUCUUUUACCCGGGAUGAUAAUGACAGUACCGGGAGAAUAAGCUCCGGCUAACUCCGUG